rnacentral:rRNA from 1 species
CAGUCGCCGCGGGAAUACGAAGGGGGCUAGCGUUGUUCGGAUUUACUGGGCGUAAAGGGCGCGUAGGCGGACUGAUAAGUCAGGGGUGAAAUCCCAAGGCUCAACCUUGGAACUGCCUUUGAUACUGUUUGUCUUGAGUUCGAGAGAGGUAAGUGGAACUGCGAGUGUAGAGGUGAAAUUCGUAGAUAUUCGCAAGAACACCAGUGGCGAAGGCGGCUUACUGGCUCGAAACUGACGCUGAGGCGCGAAAGCGUGGGGAGCAAACAGGAUUAGUACCCCCGUAGUCCCUGUCUCUUAUACA